rnacentral:rRNA from 1 species
CGAGCACGCGCGUGUGGCAUAUCAAUAAGCGGAGGAAAAGAAACUAACAAGGAUUCCCUUAGUAACGGCGAGUGAAGCGGGAAGAGCUCAAAUUUGAAAUUCUUCAAGGUUCUACCUUGACGAAUUGUAGUUUAUAGAAGUGUUUUCUGUUAGUGGAGUGGCAAAAGUUCUUUGGAAUAGGACAUCAUAGAGGGUGAGAAUCCCGUAUUUGGUCAUUCCUCCUAGCGUUGUGAUACACUUUCAACGAGUCGGAUUGUUUGGGAAUGCAGUCCAAAAUGGGUGGUAAAUUUCAUCUAAAGCUAAAUAUUGGCGAGAGACCGAUAGCGAACAAGUACCGUGAGGGAAAGAUGAAAAGAACUUUGAAAAGAGAGUUAAACAGUACGUGAAAUUGUCAAAAGGGAAGCGUUUGACACCAGUGUUGUUUUUUCCGAAAAUCAAUUACGAAUGUUUUGUUUUUGAGGAGUUAUGACUUCAUCGGCUUGCUCCUUUCUUUACGAAACUUUCUUAAUGCACUUUUCGGUUAACAAGUCAACAUCAAUUUCUUUUGUUGUAAAAGGGUAUGAGGAAGGUGGCUUUCUUUUCGGAGAAAGUGUUUAUAGCCUUUGGCUUCUGCAAUCGGAGAGAUUGAGGUCUGCAGCGUAGAUCCUUCGGGGUUAGAUGCAUUUGUGCUAAGUUAUAGCCUUUCAUAGACAACUUGUUGACUAUGAUCAGUCAUGUAGCUUACUCGCUUAUGCUAUUUUACCUACGCUUAGGAUGUUGAUGUGAUACUGCGAGCA